rnacentral:rRNA from 1 species
UACGAAGGUGGCUAGCGUUGCUCGGAAUCAUUGGGCGUAAAGGGUGCGUAGGCGGGCCUUUAAGUUAGGGGUGAAAUCCUGGAGCUCAACUCCAGAACUGCCUUUGAUACUGAGGAUCUUGAGUUCGGGAGAGGUGAGUGGAACUGCGAGUGUAGAGGUGAAAUUCGUAGAUAUUCGGAAGAACACCAGUGGCGAAGGCGACUUACUGGACACAUAUUGACGCUGAGGUGCGAAAGCGUGGGGAGCAAACAGG